AUACAGAGGGUGCGAGCGUUAAUCGGAAUUACUGGGCGUAAAGGGCGCGUAGGUGGUUGAAACAGUUGUGUGUGAAAAGCUUGGGCUUAACCUGAGUCUGUCAUGCAAUACUAUUUGACUAGAGUACAGUAGAGGAUAGUGGAAUUUCCGGUGUAGCAGUGAAAUGCGUAGAUAUCGGAAGGAACACCAGUGGCGAAGGCGACUAUCUGGACUGCUACUGACACUGAGGCGCGAAAGCGUGGGGAGCGAACAGGAUUAGAUACCCCGGUAGUCC
rnacentral:rRNA from 1 species